UACGUAGGGAGCAAGCGUUUGUCCGGAAUCAUUGGGCGUAAAGCGCGCGUAGGCGGCCCGAUAAGUCCGCUGUAAAAGUCAACGGCUCAACUGUUGAAAGCCGGUGGAUACUGUCGGGCUAGAGUACGGGAGAGGCAAGCGGAAUUCCUGGUGUAGCGGUGAAAUGCGUAGAUAUCAGGAGGAACACCCGUGGUGCAGACGGCUUGCUGGACCUCCACUGACGCUGAGGCACGAAAGCGUGGGGAGCAAACAGG
rnacentral:rRNA from 1 species